CAGAGGGGGCAAGCGUUAUUCGGAAUUAUUGGGCGUAAAGGGCGCGUAGGCGGCCUGGCAAGUGGAAGGUGAAAUCCCUCGGCUUAACCGAGGAACUGCCCUCCAAACUGCUUGGCUUGAGUCCGGGAGAGGUGAGUGGAAUUCCCAGUGUAGCGGUGAAAUGCGUAGAUAUUGGGAGGAACACCAGUGGCGAAGGCGGCUCACUGGACCGGAACUGACGCUGAGGCGCGAAAGCGUGGGGAGCAAACGGGAUUAGAUACCCCGGUAGUCCACGCCGUAAACGAUGAGUGCUUGGUGUAGCGGGUAUCGACCCCUGCUGUGCCGAAGUCAACACAUUAAGCACUCCGCCUGGGGAGUACGGUCGCAAGGCUG
rnacentral:rRNA from 1 species